UAGCUUAUUUAAGGGAGAGCCACUCCAUAG
rnacentral:piRNA from 1 species